rnacentral:rRNA from 1 species
AUGGCUAAUUUGACAGGGAGAAGCAUGGAACCACCAGCUGCUGCAUGGCCACCCUGCGGCUUUCCGUCCGACUGGUCCAUUGAACCUUUGUGGAUUCCUGGCUACCCUGCCGAUUCUGCAAUGUGCUUCCAAACACAUGUUCCUAGCAGCUCUAGCAGAGGGCAGCUGCAGCAGGUUCAGUACACGGCAGCCACAACACCAAAUUUAGCUAUCCAGGAAGAUGAUGAAGAAGAAGAAGCACAAUACAAGACAGAAAUGAAGAUCCACGACCCGAUCCAAGUGUUCGCGGAAGCAGCACACGAGUUCAAGGUCGACAUCGACAUGAAGAACAUGAAGAUCCACAGGUACCCUGCAAGCAUUCAACGUCUCGGCGGCUACUACACAACCCCGACGACGGUGGCCAUCGGGCCUUACCACCACAGGAAGGGCCGCCUCAGGCAGGCAGAGAAGGUGAAGCAUGUGGCCGCCUACCACUGCAUCAUGGAGUCGGGCCGCUCCAUCCAGGAAAUGUACGCCGCGGUGGCCUCGGUCACCGACGAAGCCCGUAGGCUCUACCACACGGACAUGGUGGCCGGUAUGGGCGACGAUGACUUCCUGCCCAUGAUGUUCUAUGACGCGUGCUUCUUGGUGCAGUACAUGCUGACUUGCACCACCAAUGGCUCCGAGAUGGAUCCGUCGAUGCGCAACUACUUCGAUGACAACAACGGCAACAUCUUCCACGACAUCAUCCUGCUGGAGAACCAGCUCCCAUGGCGGGUGGUCAAGACCGUCAUGGGGUUCAGGCCCGUGUCCUUGGAGGAGUUCAUCACCUCAUUGAAAGACGGCCUGCAAGACCGCAAAUUAACCGAGAAGUCUUUGGUCCUUGACGAUAGCUACGAGCCACCGCACCUCCUCGGCCUUCUCCGGUUCUACAUUGUAGGGAGAAGCAACACCAAGCGCAACUCCCUACCCCAAACUGGGUCGAUGGGGAUCCCUGUGAGCGCCAUCGAGCUCGCAGAAAUUGGCAUCGCACUGACGGCUAACAAGACGGGUGAGCUCAUAGAGAUGGGAGUCAGGAACAAAGGUACCCUCUUCGCCGAGCUCUUCCUGGCACCGAUGCCCCUGGACCAUGUACGCGCGAGCUGGCUUGUCAACAUGGCAGCCUUCGAGGUAUGCACCACCCCGAACUUCCAAGCGGUCGACGAUAAGGAGUCUGUUGUCUGCUCAUACCUCCUCCUCCUUUCAAUGUUCGUGGACCGGGAGGAGGACGUGCAAGAGCUACGAAGGAAGCGUCUCUUGCUGGGAGGAGGAGGGCUCGCCAACAAGGACGCCCUCGACUUUCUCAUUGGGCUCCACGGCCUGCCUGCUGGGUCUGGCUACCUCCUCACUAUGGAAGAGAUCCAUAAUUACAAAGCGAAGAGGCGGACGCGGACCCGGUUGCACGCCUUCGUUUACAAGAACUUGAGGAUCAUCAUCGCCUUCUUCUCCGCCAUUGGUGUGCUUGUCAGUAUCUUUGGCACACUCAUGUCUCUCAAGAGACGAUCGCUCCCUUAA